GCUAACGACCAUACCACGUUGAAUACACCAGUUCUCGUCCGAUCACUGAAGUUAAGCAACGUCGGGCGUAGUUAGAGUACUUGGAUGGGUGACCGCUUGGGAACACUACGUGCCGUUGGCG